UACGAGAGGCGCAAACGUUAUUCGGAAUUACUGGGCUUAAAGAGUUCGUAGGCGGCGCAGAAAGUAGGGUGUGAAAGCCCUCGGCUCAACCGAGGAAUUGCGCUCUAAACUACUGUGCUUGAGGGACCUAGAGGUGAGCGGAACUGAUGGUGGAGCGGUGAAAUGCGUUGAUAUCAUCAGGAACACCGGUGGCGAAGGCGGCAUCCUGGACCGGCAUUGACGCUGAGGCGCGAAAGCCAGGGGAGCAAACGGG
rnacentral:rRNA from 1 species